rnacentral:tRNA from 1 species
AGGAAGUUAGUCUAACAAAGACAGUUGAUUUCGACUCAACAAAUCACAGGCCUCUCCCGUGACUUUCUC